rnacentral:pre_miRNA from 1 species
UCUUACGGGUGAGCAAAGAAAGUGGUUUCUUGAGAUGGAAUCUAAUCUUGGUGAAGAAGCUGUCAA